rnacentral:rRNA from 1 species
CCGUGCAAUUCGGUAUAAUCUGAAUUAUAAUAAUUAUUUAUUUUGAUUUAAUAAUUUUAUAAUAUUUUUAAUAAAAACAUUUUAUUGUUUUUGUAUAAGGUUUAGAUAUAAUUAUGAUGAUUAUAGUAUAUUUUUACUGUAGGGGAUUAUUAUUUUAAUAAAUAUAAGUUGAUUUUAUUUGUUGUACCUUGUGUAUCAGGAUUUAUUUAAUUUUAUUAUAUAUUUUUUAUUUCCCGAUUUUAAAGGAUUUAAUUUAUUAUUUUUAUUUAUUGUAUUAUAAAUAUUUGAAAUAAUUUUUUGGUAGUGAAAUGUUAUUCGACUUUAAUUGUAUCUGGUUUUCUAAGAAAUGAAUUUAAUUCAUGUAUUUUUAUUAUAUUUCUUUAUUUGUAGGGAUAUAUUUUGAUAAUGCUAAAGUUGAGGGGGAUAAGCUCCUUAAUUAUUUUUAUAACUUUUAUAUAUUUUUAUUUUUGUUGGUUUUAUAAUAACUAUCUUUUUAAGUUUGUUAAAAUUUUAUUUAUUUUAAUGUUUUAUUUUUAUUUAUUGUUUAAAUUUAAUAUUAGAUUUCUAUAUUAAAUAAAUAUUUAUUUUAUUAAUGAUGGAAUUAGUAAAAUUUAUUUUUAGGUUAUUUUUAAUGUUUAUAUAUUUUAAAAAAGAACUAGGCAAAUAUUUUAGGAUAUAUUAUUCUCGCAUGUUUAUCAAAAACAUCUCUUCUUGAUUAAUAUAAUUUGAAGUAUAACCUGCCCACUGAUGUUUUAUUUGAAGGGCCGCGGUAUUUUGACCGUGCAAAGGUAGCAUAAUCAUUAGUCUUUUAAUUGAGGACUAGAAUGAAUGGUUGGACGAGGAAGAAACUGUUUCUUUAAAAUUUAUUUGAAUUUAUAUUUUAAGUAAAAAUACUUAAAUUUAUUUAUGGGACGAGAAGACCCUAUAGAGUUUAAUUUAUUAUAAAAUUGUUAUGUUAAUUGAUUAUUAAUUGAUUAUAUAAUAAAUUUUGUUGGGGUGAUGAAAAGAUUUAAUAAACUUUUUUUUGUUUAUAAUAUAUUAAUAUAUAAUUUUUUGAUCCAUUUUUGUUGAUUAUAAGACUAAAUUACCUUAGGGAUAACAGCGUAAUCUUUUUUGAAAGUUCUUAUUAAUAAAAGGGUUUGCGACCUCGAUGUUGGAUUAAGAUUUAAUUUGGGUGUAGCUUUUCAAUAGUUUAGGUCUGUUCGACCUUUAAAAUCUUACAUGAUCUGAGUUCAAACCGGCGUGAGCCAGGUUGGUUUCUAUCUAUAAUAAAUUUUAUAUCUUAGUACGAGAGGACCAGAUAUUUAAAAUAAUUUUUAUUUUAAAUUUGAUUAUUAUUAAUUUUACUAUUUUGGCAGAUAAAGUGCAAUAGAUUUAGAAUCUAUAAAUA